AGACGUAGGGGGCAAGCGUUGUUCGGAAUUACUGGGCGUAAAGCGCAUGUAGGCGGACAUUUAAGUCAGGGGUGAAAUCCCGGGGCUCAACCUCGGAACUGCCUUUGAUACUGGGUGUCUAGAGUGUGGAAGAGGUAAGUGGAAUUCCUAGUGUAGCGGUGAAAUGCGUAGAUAUUAGGAGGAACACCGGUGGCGAAGGCGGCCACCUGGACAGGUACUGACGCUGAGGCGCGAAAGCGUGGGGAGC
rnacentral:rRNA from 1 species